rnacentral:siRNA from 1 species
GAAGGUGAUGAAGGUACUCGACCA